UUCUCAGAAAUCCAAGCAACUAUCCUGCACCAUUCCCAGAAAAGUUGUGGGAAGGUUGUAUGCAAAAUAACCACAGGACAAUCAAGCACUUGCCAAGCUCUAAAAACAUAUUGUUCUCAGAACGUAACUGAUAAUGGACUAGUGAUAAGAGUAUCAGGUUUAGAUACAGUGCAAUAUACAGAGAGCAUGAUCACUUUUCACAGUGAGUCACUACUUUGAAGACAUGCAACAACCUUAUCCCAUUUCAUUUUGACUGUUAUCUGCAUCAGGCACUCUAUCCAACGCAGCAGUUACUACUAUCCAACCACUAUCAAAUACAGCCAGUGCAUCCCAACCAGCCAACACAGCCACUUCAUCCAGUGCAACCACACCAUCCUGUUUGACCCGUCGAUGUCUGGCCAGCAUGCUGAUUGCGAAAGAAGCUCGGAGUCCGCCACAGUCUCCACGGUGCAUCUCAAUUAUCCGUGUGCCGUCAAUCGUGUACGAAACUCUGUCUGUCG